GGGUUGUGAGGUUAAGCGACUAAGCGUACACGGUGGAUGCCCUGGCAGUCAGAGGCGAUGAAGGACGUGCUAAUCUGCGAAAAGCGUCGGUAAGGUGAUAUGAACCGUUAUAACCGGCGAUGUCCGAAUGGGGAAACCCAGUGCAAUUCGUUGCACUAUCGUUAACUGAAUACAUAGGUUAACGAGGCGAACCGGGGGAACUGAAACAUCUAAGUACCCCGAGGAAAAGAAAUCAACCGAGAUUCCCCCAGUAGCGGCGAGCGAACGGGGAGCAGCCCAGAGUCUGAAUCAGCUUGUGUGUUAGUGGAACGGUCUGGAAAGUCCGACGGUACAGGGUGAUAGUCCCGUACACCAAAAUGCACAGGCUGUGAACUCGAAGAGUAGGGCGGGACACGUGGUAUCCUGUCUGAAUAUGGGGGGACCAUCCUCCAAGGCUAAAUACUCCUGACUGACCGAUAGUGAACCAGUACCGUGAGGGAAAGGCGAAAAGAACCCCGGCGAGGGGAGUGAAAAAGAACCUGAAACCGUGUACGUACAAGCAGUGGGAGCACCUUCGGGUGUGACUGCGUACCUUUUGUAUAAUGGGUCAGCGACUUAUAUUCUGUAGCAAGGUUAACCGUAUAGGGGAGCCGCAGGGAAACCGAGUCUUAACUGGGCGUUAAGUUGCAGGGUAUAGACCCGAAACCCGGUGAUCUAGCCAUGGGCAGGUUGAAGGUUGGGUAACACUAACUGGAGGACCGAACCGACUAAUGUUGAAAAAUUAGCGGAUGACUUGUGGCUGGGGGUGAAAGGCCAAUCAAACCGGGAGAUAGCUGGUUCUCCCCGAAAGCUAUUUAGGUAGCGCCUCGUGAAUUCAUCUUCGGGGGUAGAGCACUGUUUCGGCUAGGGGGUCAUCCCGACUUACCAACCCGAUGCAAACUACGAAUACCGAAGAAUGUUAUCACGGGAGACACACGGCGGGUGCUAACGUCCGUCGUGAAGAGGGAAACAACCCAGACCGCCAGCUAAGGUCCCAAAGUCAUGGUUAAGUGGGAAACGAUGUGGGAAGGCACAGACAGCCAGGAUGUUGGCUUAGAAGCAGCCAUCAUUUAAAGAAAGCGUAAUAGCUCACUGGUCGAGUCGGCCUGCGCGGAAGAUGUAACGGGGCUAAACCAUGCACCGAAGCUGCGGCAGCGACACUAUGUGUUGUUGGGUAGGGGAGCGUUCUGUAAGCCUGCGAAGGUGACCUGUGAGGGUUGCUGGAGGUAUCAGAAGUGCGAAUGCUGACAUAAGUAACGAUAAAGCGGGUGAAAAGCCCGCUCGCCGGAAGACCAAGGGUUCCUGUCCAACGUUAAUCGGGGCAGGGUGAGUCGACCCCUAAGGCGAGGCCGAAAGGCGUAGUCGAUGGGAAACAGGUUAAUAUUCCUGUACUUGGUGUUACUGCGAAGGGGGGACGGAGAAGGCUAUGUUAGCCGGGCGACGGUUGUCCCGGUUUAAGCAUGUAGGCUGGUU
rnacentral:rRNA from 1 species